rnacentral:rRNA from 1 species
UGUCGUCAGCUCGUGUUGUGAAAUGUUGGGUUAAGUCCCGCAACGAGCGCAACCCUUAUCCUUUGUUGCCAGCGGUUCGGCCGGGAACUCAAAGGAGACUGCCAGUGAUAAACUGGAGGAAGGUGGGGAUGACGUCAAGUCAUCAUGGCCCUUACGAGUAGGGCUACACACGUGCUACAAUGGCGUAUACAAAGAGAAGCGAACCUGCGAGGGCAAGCGGACCUCAUAAAGUACGUCGUAGUCCGGAUUGGAGUCUGCAACUCGACUCCAUGAAGUCGGAAUCGCUAGUAAUCGUAGAUCAGAAUGCUACGGUGAAUACGUUCCCGGGCCUUGUACACACCGCCCGUCACACCAUGGGAGUGGGUUGCAAAAGAAGUAGGUAGCUUAACCUUCGGGAGGGCGCUUACCAC